rnacentral:ncRNA from 2 species
AGAAGAAGCCGGGGGGGCGAAAGCUGAGAUAGACAUUGUCUAAUCCCUUACUAUCUGAACUGGGUAAUGCCAGCGUAGAGAGCGCGUUCUUAAUGGCUU